rnacentral:lncRNA from 1 species
UUACAUUGCUGUGUCUCCUGAUGACGAAGAGUCAGUCAAUGUUCUUUUAAAUUGUAUUUUAGACAUUAAGUCAUGGAUGGCAGAGAACUUCUUACAGCUGAACCAGGACAAAACUGAGGUUUUAGUGAUCGGUUCUGAAGACAAGAGAGAGUUUGUUUUAUCUAAACUAAAAAACUAUAAAACUUCUCACUGUGUGAGAAACCUGGGUGUGAUUUUUGACUCUGAGUUGAAUUUUAUUCCACACAUUAAAAACAUAACAAAGACAGGAUUUUAUCAUCUUAAAAACAUUGCCAGAGUCCGCCCAUUUCUCUCUCUUGCCAGCACAGAGGUGUUAAUGCAUGCUUUUAUUUCCAGUAGAUUAGAUUACUGUAAUGCCCUGCUCUCUGGUCUUCCCAGGAAAAGGAUUUCAAACCUUCAACUGCUACAGAAUUCAGCCGCACGCGUGCUGACGAGGACCAGGGGGCGGGAACACAUUACACCCAUUUUAAAAUCGCUGCAUUGGCUCCCUGUGCAAUUCAGAAUUGAUUUUAAAAUUCUUUUAUUGGUUUAUAAAUGUUUUUAUGGCAUCGGGCCUUCUUAUUUAUCUGAUAUGAUUUUAAGGUAUGAGCCCUCGCGGACCCUGAGGUCCUCUGGAACAGGCCUGUUAGUUAUUCCAAAAGUUAGAACUAAAACAUACGGCGAGGCCUCAUUCAGUUACUAUGGACCUCGCCUGUGGAACAGCCUUCCAGAGAGCCUCAGGGCUGCAGAGACUGUUCAUGUUUUUAAAGGAAGGCUCAAGACCUACCUUUUUAAUCUGGCUUUUAGUUAAACUUUUGAGAGUUUUCUAAUAUUUUGUUUUAUCCUCUCUUUUUACUUAAUUCAUAUUUACUGAAUUAUGUGUAUUUUUAUGUGCAUGUGUAUGUGUGUGUAUUUAUAUCUGUUUUUAUUCAUUUAAUUUUUAUCUUUUUUUUUUUUUUUUUUUUUUACAUUUUAACUCCAGUGUUUUCUCUGAGGGAUCCUCCACAUCAGUGAUUGCCCUUUCUCA